UACGGGAGGCAGCAGUGGGGAAUAUUGCACAAUGGGCGAAAGCCUGAUGCAGCUAUGCCGCGUGUAUGAAGAAGGCCUUAGGGUUGUAAAGUACUUUCAUCGGGGAGGAAAAACAAAACUAAUAAUUUUAUUUCUUGACGUUACCCGAAAAAGAAGCACCGGCUAACUCCGUGCCAGCAGCCGCGGUAAUACGGAGGGUGCUAGCGUUAAUCAGAAUUACUGGGCGUAAAGAGCACGUAGGUGGUUUUUUAAGUCAGAUGUGAAAUCCCUGGGCUUAACCUAGGAACUGCAUUUUGAAACUGAAAUACUAGAGUAUCGUAGAGGGAGGUAGAAUUCUAGGUGUAGCGGUGAAAUGCGUAGAUAUCUGGAGGAAUACCUGUGGCGAAAGCGGCCUCCUAAACGAAUACUGACACUGAGGUGCGAAAGCGUGGGGAGCAAA
rnacentral:rRNA from 1 species